UAAAGUACGUGAGGCAUACGCGAUUGGC
rnacentral:sRNA from 1 species